AGGGCAUGAUGUGGACAUCCUUUGAGCUAUUUUUUAUACCUUUCCCAUGCUUCAUAGAAUGGUUCAUUCGAUUUUUUGAGAAAAAGAAGUGAUGUCCUUUCUUAAUCAU